GGGCAAGUCUGGUGCCAGCAGCCGCGGUAAUUCCAGCUCCAAUAGCGUAUAUUAAAGUUGUUGUGGUUAAAAAGCUCGUAGUUGAACCUUGGGCCUGGCUGGCCGGUCCGCCUCACCGCGUGCACUGGUCCGGCCGGGCCUUUCCCUGUGUGGAACCCCAUGCCCUUCACUGGGCGUGGCGGGGAAACAGGACUUUUACUUUGAAAAAAUUAGAGUGCUCCAGGCAGGCCUAUGCUCGAAUACAUUAGCAUGGAAUAAUAAAAUAGGACGUGCGGUUCUAUUUUGUUGGUUUCUAGGACCGCCGUAAUGAUUAAUAGGGACAGUCGGGGGCAUCAGUAUUCAAUUGUCAGAGGUGAAAUUCUUGGAUUUAUUGAAGACUAACUACUGCGAAAGCAUUUGCCAAGGAUGUUUUCUUUAAUCAGGAACGAAAGUUAGGGGAUCGAAGACG
rnacentral:rRNA from 1 species